UUAAAUGGCCGCGGUAUUUUGACCGUGCUAAGGUAGCAUAAUCAUUAGUUUUUUAAUUGGAAACUGGUAUGAAGGGCUGAAUGAAAAAGAGACUGUCUCUAUUUAAUUAUAAUAAAAUUUUAUUUUUAAGUUAAAAAGCUUAAAUUUAAUUAAAAGACGAGAAGACCCUAUAGAGUUUAAUAAUUUUAUAAUAUAUAAAAUUUAGAAUUAAUUUUUUUAUUUUUAUAAAAUUAUUUGAUUGGGGUGAUUAAAAAAUUUAAUAAACUUUUUUUAUAUAUUUAUAUUAAUGUAUAGGUUUUUGAUCCAAAAAUUUUGAUUAAAAGAUUAAAUUACCUUAGGGAUAACAGCGUAAUUUUAUUAGAGAGUU
rnacentral:rRNA from 1 species